rnacentral:rRNA from 1 species
CCUACGGGUGGCAGCAGUGGGGAAUAUUGCACAAUGGGGGAAACCCUGAUGCAGCGACGCCGCGUGAGCGAUGAAGGCUUUCUGUGUGUAAAGCUCUAUUAGUAGGGGAGUAAAUGACGGUACGUGACUAAGAAUCCCCGUCUAACUACGUGCCAGCAGCCGCGGUAAUACGGAGGGGGCAAGCGUUAUCCGGAUUUACUGGGUGUAAAGGGGGCGUAGACGGCGGUGCAAGCCAGAGGUGAAAGCCCGGGGCUCAACGCCGGGACUGCCUCUGGUACUGUGGUGCUAGAGUGUCGGAGCGGUAGGCGGAAUGUCUAGUGUAGCGGUGAAAUGCAUAGAGAUUAGGCGGAACACCAGUGGCGAAGGCAGCUUGCUAAACGAUGACUGACGUUGAGGCUCGAAAGCGUGGGGAGCAAACAGGAUUAGAUACCCCAGUAGUC